AUUGAACGCUGGCGGCAUGCCUUACACAUGCAAGUCGAACGGCAGCACGGGAGCAACCCUGGUGGCGAGUGGCGAACGGGUGAGUAAAGUAUCGGAACGUGCCCAGUCGUGGGGGAUGACGUAGCGAAAGUCACGCUAAUACCGCAUACGAUCUAUGGAUGAAAGCGGGGGAUAGCAAGACCUCGCGCGAUUGGAGCGGCCGAUAUCAGAUUCGGUAGUUGGUGGGGUAAAGGCUCACCAAGCCGACGAUCUGUAGCGGGUCUGAGAGGACGACCAGCCACACUGGGACUGAGACACGGCCCCGACUCCUACGGGAGGCAGCAGUGGGGAAUUUUGGACAAUGGGCGAAAGCCUGAUCCAGCCAUGCCGCGUGCAGGAUGAAGGCCUUCGGGUUGUGAACUGCUUUUGUACGGAACGAAAAGGUUUGGCCUAAUAAGCUGAGCUCAUGACGGUACCGUAAGAAUAAGCACCGGCUAACUACGUGCCAGCCGCCGCCGUAA
rnacentral:rRNA from 1 species